UCCCCAGCCUGCAAGCAACAUGGCCUGCUCACCCACCCGUGUGGAUCCGGACGUGCCGCUGCAGGGCACCAGGGUCAGCAAACUGCCGCUGGCAGUGGAUGCACACGUGGGGCUUCUCCCCGCUGUGGGAUCCGCAGGUGCCGCUUGAGGGCCCCUGCCCAACCCAACCCCAGAGAAUAACUCUCAGGUCUGCCAGGAUACCAGGGAUGGAGCUAUAUCUUCCCAAAGCCAGCAGAAGGUUCCAGGUCCCAGUAGUGACAGGUAAAACACCCCCACCUAAUUCUGUCUGGGCCAAAUGCCACCCCAACUCAACCUGCCCUCCCUAGUUGCCUGGGCAGAGUAGUCGGGAGCACCAUCUGGGGAAGAGUCACUGUUUACAGGUCCCAUGCCUCUGCAAGCCCCGCACACAGUGGGGCUCCCGGGGCUGGCUCUGGGAGUGCCUGCACACCUGAUUGAACUUCUUGUCACAGUGUGGGCACUUGUGCUCCUUGUUGGUGUCAUGUGUCUCCAGGUGGCGCAUCUUGGAUGUGGGGUCAGAGAAGGAGCGGCCACAGUAGUCGCACUGGUAGGGCUUCUCACCGCUGUGCACCAGCUGAUGGCGCUUGAGGUUGCCGAGGUGGUGAAGAGCUUGCCACAGUCCUCACAGCGGUAGCGUGCCUCACCCGAGUGCCGCUUCUUGUGCAGGUUCAGCAGGCUGAUGAGCCGGUAGCUCUUGCCGCACUCCUCGCAGCCAUACGGCUUCAGCGGGCUGGUGGCAAGAAGGCAACGGACAGGGAGGGCUGCUCCCUGGAUCCCAGGGAGCUGCCUGCAAGGUGAAGGAGGCCUGGGGGGCAGCUACCUGUGCGUCUUCUCGUGGGCCUUACAUGCAGCAGGGUCGGAGAAGGCCUUGCUACACUCGCGGCAAGAGAAGGGUUUCUCUCCAGUGUGGAUGCGGAUGUGCCGCUUGAAGUUGCCCGUGUGUGUGAACUCCUUCCCACAAUCCUGCAGCACAGCGGGAGGGGGCGUGAGUGGGCUGUGGGGACCGGGCAGGCAGGGGGCUGGCACCACCUGCGCCCGCGCCUGCACUUGUGGAUGGCGGAGCCAUAUGCCUUAGACUCAGUGCGGUCCCCGUAGGUGCCAGAGCGCAGGCUCGGGCCUCCACGCCGAGCUCCUGCCCAGAGUCUGUGCCCAAGGACUCCUCGGUCUCCCUCGGGGGCCUCUCCGUUCUCUAGCCGGUGUCCCUCCUGCUUGACCUCGGCAGGCCCUGUAUCUUCCUCCUCAGGCUCUUCUUCUCCUUUGCUGGCCGGCUCCACCUCCAUUUCUGCAAAGAGGCAGCAGCACUGAGGCACCUGGAAUGUGAGCUCAGGCUGCUCAAAGGUCAGGUCAGGCCCAGUCGAUCCACUUCAUGCCUCACACACCCCUUCCUCUCUGCCUGAGCACCUAGCAGGGCUCCAGCAAGGUCUGGGAGUGACAAGGACACAGUCC
rnacentral:lncRNA from 1 species